rnacentral:rRNA from 1 species
GGGGAAUAUUGGACAAUGGGGGCAACCCUGAUCCAGCAAUUCUGUGUGCACGAUGAAGGUUUUCGGAUUGUAAAGUGCUUUCAGCAGGGAAGAAAAAAAUGACGGUACCUGCAGAAGAAGCGACGGCUAAAUACGUGCCAGCAGCCGCGGUAAUACGUAUGUCGCAAGCGUUAUCCGGAAUUAUUGGGCACAAAGGGCAUCUAGGCGGCCAGAUAAGUCUGGGGUGAAAACUUGCGGCUCAACCGCAAGCCUGCCCUGGAAACUAUGUGGCUAGAGUACUGGAGAGGUGGACGGAACUGCACGAGUAGAGGUGAAAUUCGUAGAUAUGUGCAGGAAUGCCGAUGAUGAAGAUAGUUCACUGGACGGUAACUGACGCUGAAGUGCGAAAGCUAGGGGAGCAAACAGGAUUAGAUACCCUGGUAGUCCUAGCUGUAAACGAUGAUUACUGGGUGUGGGCAUGAAGAGUGUCCGUGCCGAAGCUAAUGCGAUAAGUAAUCCGCCUGGGGAGUACGGCCGCAAGGCUG